rnacentral:rRNA from 1 species
GACGGAGGAUGCAAGUGUUAUCCGGAAUCACUGGGCGUAAAGCGUCUGUAGGUGGUCAAAUAAGUCAACUGUUAAAUCUUGAGGCUCAACCUCAAAACCGCAGUCGAAACUAUUAGACUAGAGUAUAGUAGGGGUAAAGGGAAUUUCCAGUGGAGCGGUGAAAUGCGUAGAGAUUGGAAAGAACACCGAUGGCGAAGGCAGCUCUCUGGGACGGUACUGACGCUGAGACGCGAAAGCGUGGGGAGCGAACAGG